GCGUAUGAGCUUGGAAAUGACACAACAUUGGAACUUUCUUCUUUCUUGAGUAUGGUGAUUGUUUCCCAUUGAUGUUGUUUCAGUUGUGCUCGGUUUUAUGCCUUAAAUCAUAAAGUAUUGAAGCGUGUUGCAUGCGACAGAAUAAUAGGACUUAAAAAGUUCAGGUUUAAUAAUGGAGUUUCUUAUCUCUGUAUUUCUUUUUCCAUUUCCAAAUCUAAUGCGUGGAGAUUAUUUUCUUUCCUUAUCAUUGAUGAGAUGUGGGCCCUAUUUUCUGCUGAGCUUAAAGAAUUGAUUAGAGGUGUGCAAAUGGU
rnacentral:misc_RNA from 1 species